rnacentral:rRNA from 1 species
GUCCACGCCCUAAACGAUGCUCACUAGGUGUUGGGGAAGCGAUUCCUUGGUACCGUAGCUAACGCGUGAAGUGAGCCGCCUGGGGAGUACGGCCGCAAGGUUAAAACUCAAAGGAAUUGACGGGGACCCGCACAAGCGGUGGAUGAUGUGGAUUAAUUCGAUGCAACGCGAACAACCUUACCUACCCUUGACAUGUCUGGAAGGCUGCUGAAAGGUGGCUGUGCCCGAAAGGGAACCGGAACACAGGUGCUGCAUGGCUGUCGU